UACGGAGGGGGCAAGCGUUGUUCGGAAUUACUGGGCGUAAAGGGCGCGUAGGCGGCACGACAAGUCGGGGGUGAAAGCCCGGGGCUCAACCCCGGAAUGUCUCUCGAAACUGUCGAGCUAGAGUGCAGAAGAGGCAACUGGAAUUCCCAGUGUAGCGGUGAAAUGCGUAGAUAUUGGGAAGAACACCUGCGGCGAAGGCGGGUUGCUGGGCUGAUACUGACGCUGAGGCGCGAAAGCCAGGGGAGCGAACGGG
rnacentral:rRNA from 1 species